rnacentral:SRP_RNA from 1 species
AUCGGGCUUGAUAAUGCUUGUCUGUAACUCGAGUGAGGGUAUUAAAGAUAGUUGGACGGUUAACAAUUCCAGUUUGGUUGGUCCGGCCGGUGCGUUAACUGGCUUGCCCGUUCCAAGUUGUGAGUUGGGUCAUGUGGCUUGAGCGAAAGCUUGGGUCACGUGGUCCCUAGAGUAGGUGACAAUACGUAAGGCUGGUUUCAAAGAGCUGUGAAAACCCCUCAUUCGUGGCCGGGGCUCUGUAUGGACCAUAUAACCUAACCUCCUGGAAUGUCUCAAUCUAACAAUAAUCUUU